CGAAAGGCAUAAGUCCAAUCAACCACCACAUUAGACAUUCCAAGAAUCACAGCCUCUCUGAGGAAGAAAAAGUAAUUAUUACCCAGGUAUUAUCAUUUUCCAUCUGUGCUACCAUGUGAAAAAUGUUGGGAAACUCUACUGGAAACUGACCUUGCUCUUGGGACCCACCCUGCCAGGCAAAAGAGGAUUUCUAGAGGAUGCUCUGAAGCCUGAAUAUGAGUCUGGAAGCCUACACACUAUCGACGGUCC
rnacentral:lncRNA from 1 species